rnacentral:rRNA from 1 species
GAUGAACGCUGACAGAAUGCUUAACACAUGCAAGUCGAUGGGGAAGUGGUGCUUGCACCCUGGCAACCAUGGCGGACGGGUGAGUAACGCGUAAGGGACUUACCUGCAGGACUGGGAUAACAGGGGGAAACUCCUGACAAGACCGGAUAAUGUCAUGGAGCUGCAUGGCUUUAUGAUGAAAGGAGACGCCUGCGGAGAGCCUUGCGUCCUAUUAGCUAGUUGGUGAGGUAAUGGCUCACCAAGGCGAAGAUAGGUAGCCGGCCUGAGAGGGUGGACGGCCACAAGGGGACUGAGAUACGGCACUUACUCCUACGGGAGGCAGCAGUGGGGAAUAUUGGACAAGGGGGGCAACCCUGAUCCAGCAAUUCUGUGUGCACGAAGAAGGUUUUCGGAUUGUAAAGUGCUUUCAGCAGGGAAGAAGUAAGUGACGGUACCUGCAGAAGAAGCGACGGCUAAAUACGUG